ensembl:lncRNA
CCCACAACGAAGAAUACACAACUAUGUACCAGGGGGCUUUGGGGAGAAAAAGGAAAAAAUAAAAUCUUUAAAAAAAAUUGAACUUAAUUUUGCCAAAACUACUCAUGUUCCAUUUUACCCAAAAAAGAAGACUGGAAUAAGCCUGGUUUUGUUGCAGUUACCUACUUCACCUCCCCACUUUACCCCAACACCACCGCUACCAACAGCAACUCUAGGCCAGGAGCUCAUUGUCUUAUCUCAGCCUGGGUCACUACAAAGUUUCCCAUUAGCCUCUUUGCCUCUGCUCUGGCUCCCAUUUAAUUCCUCCAUCUCAUAAAACCACAGGGAUAUUUCUAAAGUCUACAUAUAAUCUUGCCCCUUGUUUGCUAACAAUCCUUUCAAGACUCCCCUCACUUUCAAAUAGACAAAUGCCCCAUUGUGGUAUACGAGUUUGACCAUGAUAGCCCCUACUGAAUCCUGCAGCUGUACCUUCCAGCCCCAGAUUCAGUCACCAGCCACACCCAACUCCCUGACUUGUGCCCCACUGGCUCAGGAUCUCACUUCCUUCCCAGACUUUUCGCAUACAAUUUCUUUGACCUGGAACUAGUCCUUCUUCACCUGGCUUCUUCCUCUUUCUUCUUUAAGGAGCAACUCAAAUUUCUUCCACCCUAGACUCAGUUUUAUGUCCUCCUUAGCUGCUCCCAUUACUCUAGCACUGAGCCUUCCAGCUAUAAACUCUGGGUCUAUUUAUCCGUCUUCCACACUGCAUUGUAAACUUCUCAGGGGCAAGAGAUAUCUUUCAACCAUCACUAGAGCCUAGCAUAAAGACUAGUGUGGAGUCUUAACUGAAUAAAUGUUUAGUAAAACAAUAGGGAAGUUGCUGGGGGAAAUGUUUGUACUUUUCUCUUUCCCUGUUCCUAAGUAGGUUCUCCUAAUAUGAAAUGCCUUAGAAAGGACUGCAUUGUCAGGAAUUAGGUCUAGUGGAGAUGCUGCAGGACUCUAAGGUCAGCCAGAUCUGGGUGAAAGCAUAUUUCUUGCAAUUUGAUAUUUUAGUAGUGUAGACAAGAGCCAGACUGGUUAUUUUCCCAAGUAAGCCCUGCCGAGUUAUUUCCCUGAAAAGAGGAUAUGUUCUGAUCCUUGAAGCAGCAUGAUAACAAGUGCAAUAUGUAAUAUGUUAACAUUUCAAAUCAUUACAGAGCAAGUGUGAGCUCUUCCUGCCUUUAUUCAGGCCCAUGAGCCUAGAUGCCAGGCUCACCCUCUCCAGGUGAAGUGGGAAUGUGUGGGGACAAUUGGCCUAAGUCUAAAUAAAAAAAAAGACACUGAGGCACUUUUAAAUGACUAAAACUGUGACUUCUGAACACACAUCAGGGGUAGUAUCACCUACACUGAGGUCAGAUGGUGGGAGAACCCCAGGGGAAGCAGCAAGUUCAAGUCACGCUGUCUCUCCAUCCUCUGGAUCUCAUGUCCCCCUGGUUGCCAUCCCUUCACUAGAAGCACAGAGACUUCAGAAGUCAUAAGGUGUGGGAACGUCCACUUCCUAUUUGCUAGGCCACAGAAAACUUUGCACAGUUAAGUUUGGUCAAAUACAUCACCAUUAAUACACAUCAAUUCUUCCUCCAAAGUUGAGUCAAAGAGAAAGGACACAUGAGCAGAGGAUGCACUAGCAAGAACAAAGCUUUAUACACAUAAUCUGGAACAGAAAGAUAAGUGCCCAUUGAGGCAAAUGAGUAAGGAGAAAGGGGCAGCUGUAAGCAGGAGGCUGUGUCCUACCAGUUCCAAGGUGAGAGGAAAAUUGUCCCAGAGCUUGGGUUGGCCAGGCUAACAGUCAAAGCCAGGAAUGGCUCAGGUGAUGAUAUGUACAGAUCUUUCUUCUACUCUCUGCAGUGGAACUUCGACUGUUGAGAACUGACCAGCCUCCUCUGCCCUACCCACUCUGACACACACACACAUGCCCUGAGGCGUGGGACCUCCAGCUUGCAGUGGGAAGACAGAGAGCGGUUACGUUUGUUUGACAUAACUACAAAGGACUGAGCCUCUUCCCAGCAGAGCAAGUUCCAUUCUUGGAAGCUUUUGCUUCUUAAUUGAUGAGAUCUGCAUCUUGCACUAGGACAAAAUGAAGGGUUGGUAGUCCUACACUUCUGGCUCCCACAGGUGUGGAUGGUGGCAAAGGUGCCCCGAAGGCAAGGCUGAUAAUUGCUGUGACCACAUCUGAGUUGGAAUUACUUCUGACCAAAUAUAGGAGCAAAAGUGCCUCCAAACACAGGCAUUUUCUUAGUAGUGCUGCCCCCCGAAAGUCAAAGGGGGUACCAUGGCUGGAUGACCAGGUAUUCUGACUGCAGGAAAAAGUAGAAACGUCCCCUUAAAAAUUUUGGCGUUGUCCCUCUGACUGUAAGAGUCACACUUUGACGAUGAGCACCCCAGGAGCUCAGAAUGAUGGUGGGAAGGCCCCAAGCACAAGUUUGGUGAUGCCCUCCUCCAUCCAUCAUAUCACACAGGCCCCAGGUGCUGUGACUGUAGGCAGGAACACAAGGGGCUGCAAGCACAGUUGUGGCACUGGCUCUACAACUUCUAAAGAUGAACUCUGGCCGGUGUGCCCAGGUGCUCUGAUUGUAGACAUGAAGAGAAAUACCUCCAAGCAUACAAAUGGUGCUCAUCCCUCCCACUGCAGCACACAUGCUGUGGCCAGGGGGACCCCAGGAGCUCCAGCAGAAGGCAGGAAGAAGAUUUCCCAACACAGUUAUGGUGCUCAGUUCCUCUGACUGCAACAGAUAUGCUCUGGUACGCAGGAUCCCAGCUGAUCUGACCACUCGGAGGAAAAAAGUGUGACCUGGCACUCAUUUCUUCUCAGUGGUGCUGACUCCUUCAGUAGUCACGGAUGUGCCUUCACCCAGCUGGCUCCAAGUGCUCUGACUAUGAGGCAGAAAGGAAAGUGUCUUCCAGGACAGAUUUGCUGUACAAGUGAGCUCUCCAAUUGCAAGUGAAGUGCCAUAGUCAGCAGGACCCUGGUGCUCAGGUCUAAGUGUCCCCAACUUAGCGGACCAGUGUCUGCUUGGUCCUGCAUCAAAGUUGAGUCCUCCAGAAUGGAGCUGGGGCCUGGGCAGCCACAGUCACCCAAAGCUGCUGCCAUCCAUAAGGGCUGCAGAACCCACAACACAAAUGGGUCUGCAGUGGUGUUAGCAAACAAUGAGCUACUGUCCCCAGUGGUAGUUGCUCUUAAGACAGAAGUAGCGGCUGUGCCACUGGGAAAAAUGCCUGGGUGUCUCCGAAGUCUAGCUGGGUGCUGACAGGGAUGCCAAAGGUGGAAAAUGGGGAUGUUAACCCACAAAGCUCAUUGAAUUGUGCUGCCAUUGAGUGGCUGGGCUGUGGCAAAGCUCAAAUUGUAGCUUGUGCUAGAGCUGGCUGGCUUCCAAAAGGGAGAGAGCUGCCAUUGGGUGGCUCCAGGCUGCAGCCCAUCAGGAGCCCUAAAUGUGGGCCAAGGGAUGGUGGUGGUUCCCAGGUCAAAGGGAGUUUGAAAGUUGCGUUUGGGCUGCUGACUGUGCAGGCAGGCUGGUGGAAACUGGGUCUGAGGCAAUGCUGCCACAGGGAGACAUCUUCUCAGAACGAGGAAGUGCCAUGGAAAAUAAAAAGAAGUUCUCCCUAAAGCCUGGGUGAGACCUGGAGAUAAGAGCCUGGGAAGAGAAAGUGGCGUCCUUGUCAGUGAUACCAAAGUCCAAAGCAGGCUGGCGUGCUGGUUGUGAUGGUAGACGUGACCAUGGAAGGAAUGAUGGGCUAGCAGGUGAAGAUUGGGGACUGCUGGUGACUGGAGGAGGGACUAUAUGAAAAAGAUAGAAGAAUCCACAAACAUAGGUUUUGGUGACUCCAUUCUGUAGGAGGCAAGUGUGACAGAGAGGACUGAGGUGAUAGGAGAUACGGGGAGGUUAAAAUAGAAGAUGCUGCAGCUAUGACUGAGGGAUGGGAAUGCAAGGGCCUCUGUUCUCAUUACUAAAUGGAACCCCAAAAGUGAGCUUGACUCUAUAGGGAGAAAGAGAGUCAACAUGAACAGCAAAAGAAGGAGAACAAGAAAUUGCACGUCUUGUUUCAUAAUAAAGGUCAGCCAAGUCAGUGACUGGUAAUGUUUUAGUAACACAGGUCUGCAAGGGGAAAGUGGCUGAGGCAGUGCAGUCUGACAUGGCCUGUGUCAUCCCCCAAGACCUUAUUAAGCCACUAUGGCUCAACUACCUUCUCCAAGCCCAGGUCUUCAGCAAUGGCUGUACAAGGAAGCUGAGGAUGUCAGAGCAGCUCACCUCCACCCUACGACAGUGGCAGUGGCACAGCGACUUUUGCAGGGAGGGCCCAAAACUGGCAGAUGUGGUGGUGAAGUCCUCCUUGACAGGUCUAAAAGCUUUUCUCCCUCUGUCUUCCUGGACAUCAGUGAGGUGGAGAACUGAGCUGAUGGCCUUCAUCAAGCACCGCCUUUGUCAACCUCUGGAGAAGCAGGAGCAGGAUGAAGUUGGACCAGAAAGGCUUGCUGCACCUGGAUCAGUCCUCUAAAGGGACAAGACACCUCCAGCAGGACCCAUGAGCUGGGAGUGGCAUGGCCUUUGGUGAAGGAGCUCAUAGAGAACAUAAGGUUUUUCUUACUCAAACUAUCUUCCGGGGCUUAGAUUGGAGGGUUCCCUUCAGAAGCCCAGGACUACACCUCAACGAAGUGACACUCCAGCGGCCUCCCAAGACCUAGAUGCUGACACUGUAUGGGGUCGCUUCUCUGAACGUCCUGCCUUCCGUCACUAGUUGAUCAUCCUUCUCUGUGCCUUUCCUGCAUUCUCCUAGGGCUCAGUUUCCUUCAGGCAAGGAUCCGGGGGAUGACAGGAUGCCUCUCGCCUCAUAAAGGCGACCAACUGCUCAGGUAGCCGACAGAGGAGGAUCCAUUUGUUUCUGGAGAAGGGAUAUUUACCGUUCUUGGGCGACCCUUACUGACGAACAGCCUGGAGGUUCGAGCAGCCAGCACCAGCAUCUUCAGAGCCAACAAGGAGCCCCCAGACGGGCACUGAGCCUGCGGGACGGCGCUGUAACACCGAGCGGGUGGCAGCACGCCCUCGCGGCGGGCCAGCCUGGGAACAUGGCGGAGCAGAGCAGCUUCCCACAUUGACAUUACCUUCCUGGCCACCCCUGGCCUGUUCAUUUUCCUCCUUAAGGGAGAACUGAAGAGUCAAGAUCCAACAAAAAUAAAACAUCAAGCACAAUGGGGUGUUUUGUGUGCUCCUUAGAAGCUCCUUUGCCAAACUGGGAGGAACAGAAAAACCUGCUGAGGUUUUCAAAUAGAAAUGGCAGAGGCUGUGUGACUGUCUACAUAAAACGGAAACCAGAAAAAGUGCCACAAUAUUUGAAAAAAGGAAAAUAUGGUCACCACCUUUAAAAGAAAAUACAAGAAACGUGACUGGCAACCACCGCUUGGCUUACUGUUCUCCGCCGAGAGCAAAAGUCUACUAGAGCAGUAGACUAAAGGCGUGGGUUGUCAGAAAGGUCCUACUGGAUAUCUGGAAUUCCUCUUUGUCAAACCUCAAAAGUUUGCUUUAACUUAAAAUAUAUAACUAUGUAUCCAUUUGCCAAUCUUUCUUAUAUUAUGUAAAAUUUCAAACAUAUACAAAAGUAAAGAGAAUAACAUCAGGACCUCCA